rnacentral:piRNA from 1 species
AGCUCCUUCUUCUUGAC